GAUGAACGCUGGCGGCGUGCCUAAUACAUGCAAGUCGAGCGAACGGACGAGAAGCUUGCUUCUCUGAUGUUAGCGGCGGACGGGUGAGUAGCACGUGGACAACCUACCUAUAAGACUGGGAUAACUUCGGGAAACCGUAGCUAAUACCGGAUAAUAUUUUGAACCGCAUGGUUCAAAAGUGAAAGACGGUCUUGCUGUCACUUAUAGAUGGAUCCGCGCUGCAUUAGCUAGUUGGUAAGGUAACGGCUUACCAAGGCAACGAUGCAUAGCCGACCUGAGAGGGUGAUCGGCCACACUGGAACUGAGACACGGUCCAGACUCCUACGGGAGGCAGCAGUAGGGAAUCUUCCGCAAUGGGCGAAAGCCUGACGGAGCAACGCCGCGUGAGUGAUGAAGGUCUUCGGAUCGUAAAACUCUGUUAUUAGGGAAGAACAUAUGUGUAAGUAACUGUGCACAUCUUGACGGUACCUAAUCAGAAAGCCACGGCUAACUACGUG
rnacentral:rRNA from 1 species